CAAGACUUGUUUCUUUUCAGGAUCUACCUCCAGUCACCUGAUCACACUACCAGCUAGUUCUUCACUGUGUUUCUUGGCAGCCAGCAAGCAACCACAGAGAGCAAGAACCAGCAGGAGAAGUAACAACUUGGGAGAGAAAAGGGAGGGAGCAGAGCACAGACCUGUUUCUGGAACACACCGGAGGGAGUGCUUUACCUUACCUUGGAUACACCGACAGUACCACUGGAUGUCACUGUUGCUUCAUGAAAGUCAAAAGAUGUACCAGAAUACUGACAAAUCUUUUUAAAAAAACCCCAUGACUCUGACACAUCAAAACAGUGUGUGAGCUCCUCCUGGUGGUGCAGAAGUCUUGGAGAGUCAAACAGGAACAAGGAAUAAAAGGAGAAAAAUCAAGUGACUAUGUUGAAGC
rnacentral:lncRNA from 1 species